rnacentral:rRNA from 1 species
AUUGAACGCUGGCGGCAUGCUUUACACAUGCAAGUCGAACGGUAACAGGCCGCAAGGUGCUGACGAGUGGCGAACGGGUGAGUAAUGCAUCGGAACGUGCCCAGUCGUGGGGGAUAACUACUCGAAAGAGUGGCUAAUACCGCAUACGAUCUAUGGAUGAAAGCGGGGGACCGUAAGGCCUCGCGCGAUUGGAGCGGCCGAUGUCAGAUUAGGUAGUUGGUGGGGUAAAGGCUCACCAAGCCAACGAUCUGUAGCUGGUCUGAGAGGACGACCAGCCACACUGGGACUGAGACACGGCCCAGACUCCUACGGGAGGCAGCAGUGGGGAAUUUUGGACAAUGGGCGCAAGCCUGAUCCAGCAAUGCCACGUGCAGGAAGAAGGCCUUCGGGUUGUAAACUGCUUUUGUACGGAACGAAACGGCUCUGGUUAAUACCCGGGGCUAAUGACGGUACCGUAAGAAUAAGCACCGGCUAACUACGUG